CACGUCCUACGGGAGGCAGCAGUGAGGAAUAUUGGUCAAUGGCCGGAAGGCUGAACCAGCCAAGCCGCGUGAAGGACGAAGGUGCCAAGCAUUGUAAACUUCUUUUGUCAAGGGACAAAAUCAGGCUCGAGAGCCUGACCGAGGGUACUUGAAGAAAAAGCAUCGGCUAACUCCGUGCCAGCAGCCGCGGUAAUACGGAGGAUGCGAGCGUUAUCCGGAUUUAUUGGGUUUAAAGGGUGCGUAGGCGGGCUGUUAAGUCGGCGGUAAAAGCCCGGGGCUCAACCCCGGCCCGCCGUUGAAACUGG
rnacentral:rRNA from 1 species